rnacentral:rRNA from 1 species
UUGGAGGGCAAGUCUGGUGCCAGCAGCCGCGGUAAUUCCAGCUCCAAUAGCGUAUAUUAAAGUUGUUGCAGUUAAAAAGCUCGUAGUUGAAUUUUAGGCCUGACCGGGCGGUCCGUCUUUGGCGAGUACUGUCCUGUGUCGGGUCCACCUUCUGGUGAACCAGUAUGUCCUUUAUUGGGUGUGCCGGGGAGCCAGGACCAUUACCUUGAAAAAAUUAGAGUGUUUAAAGCAGGCAUUUGCUUGAAUAGAUUAGCAUGGAAUAAUAGAAUAGGACGUUGUGGUUCUAUUUUGUUGGUUUCUAGGACCACCGUAAUGAUUAAUAGGGAUAGUUGGGGGCAUUAGUAUUCAAUUGUCAGAGGUGAAACUCUUGGAUUUAUUGAAGACUAACUAUUGCGAAAGCAUUUGCCAAGGAUGUUUUCAUUAAUCAAGAACGAAAGUUAGGGGAUCGAAGACGAUCAGAUACCGUCGUAGUCUUAACCAUAAACUAUGCCGACUAGGAAUCGGGCGACGUUAUUUUCAUGACUCGCUCGGCGCCUUAUGGGAAACCAAAGUGUUUGGGUUC